AGGAGCCGUGUGAAGGGAAACUUUCAUGCACGGUUCUGAAGACGAGUAGUUUUGGUGACAAAAUUGCUUAGUUUAAC
rfam:Limnoraphis robusta CS-951 contig141, whole genome shotgun sequence.